UCCUACGGGAGGCAGCAGUGAGGAAUAUUGGUCAAUGGAGGCAACUCUGAACCAGCCAUGCCGCGUGAAGGAUGACGGCCCUAUGGGUUGUAAACUUCUUUUGAAUAGGAAGAAACUUAUCUACGUGUAGAUAACUGACGGUACUAUUAGAAUAAGGAUCGGCUAACUCCGUGCCAGCAGCCGCGGUAAUACGGAGGAUCCAAGCGUUAUCCGGAUUCAUUGGGUUUAAAGGGUCCGUAGGCGGAUCUUUAAGUCAGUGGUGAAAGCCGACAGCUUAACUGUCGAACUGCCAUUGAUACUGGAGAUCUUGAGUACAAAUGAAGUAGGCGGAAUGAGUCAUGUAGCGGUGAAAUGCAUAGAUAUGACUCAGAACACCGAUUGCGAAGGCAGCUUACUAACAUGUAACUGACGCUGAGGGACGAAAGCGUGGGGAGCGAACAGGAUUAGAUACCCUGGUAGUCCACGCCGUAAAUGAUCAUCACUCGCUGUUGGCGAUAUACUGUCAGCGGCCAAGCGAAAGUAUUAAGUGAUGCACCUGGGGAGUACGCCGGCAACGGUGAAACUCAAAUGAAUUGACGGA
rnacentral:rRNA from 1 species